GACGAACCGUGCGAACGUUAUUCGGAAUCACUGGGCUUAAAGCGCGUGUAGGCGGAUGGGAACGUCGGUAGUUGAAAGCCCCCGGCUCAACCGGGGAAGUGGUGCCGAAACGACCCGUCUGGAGGGACGUAGGGGGACCUGGAACUUCCGGUGGAGCGGUGAAAUGCGUUGAGAUCGGAAGGAACGCCCGUGGCGAAAGCGAGGUCCUGGACGUCUACU
rnacentral:rRNA from 1 species